ensembl:lncRNA novel transcript, antisense to PUF60
GGGGCGUGCGCCGCGGGACUCGAGUCGGGCGUAUCUCUCCGCGUGGCCGACGCGGGCGUGCGUAGUACCCUUCGCCGCCCGUCGCCCUUGCGGCCACUGCUACGCUUCUCUUCUCUGCCUUUUUUGGAGAAAACGCUGUCGCGUGCGUCGUCCAGAGGCUCUCCCCCAGGAGGCAGGCGAAAGAGCGGGGCCCUCCUGGGCUGGAGGAGUCUCGGGUGAUGAAAGGCCCGCGUGUUUCAGGCUGACGUCGUGAGAUGCGUCGUCCCCGCGUCGCGACAUCCCUGGGACCGGGAGGCCCCGUUCAAUUGGCAGCUUUUUCUCCUUCCAGGGAACCGAUGACCCUAGGUUGGCUGACAUCAGUCGCUAGACCCGCAGCCCGCAGGCCCCGUUAGUCCCUGAACUGGCUUUCAUGGCCCAAGGUGUCUGUCAGUACUGCUGGGAAAGCUGCCUGUCCUGGACAUUUGCCAUCUGCUGCACCCAGUCCCGAGACCCCAACUCGGUCAUCCGAAGAAGCCACAUCUCUGGACAGCCCAGGAUCACCAGACACCUGAGAAAGAAGAAAAGGGACUCAGAAGAAACAGAGACGAUAAAGGAAGCCGAAGAAAAAUGAAAACUAAAAUGCCAUUCUCAGUCAAUAAAAAGGAACUGGGGGCUAUAGAGAAAGAAACCUCGGGAUGAGAAAGAGCUCUUAGAAAUAAAACAUGAGGGGAAAGUGAGCAAUUCAAUAGGCUUUUAAGAUGAAGUCUUCCAGAAUGUAUAAUGACAGAACCAGAUAGCUGGAAAACAGAAUAGCAGUAACACAGGUGGGUGCUCUUAGGGCUAGCCUGGCACACAAGGCCUCCACAAUGGAGGGGGUGGAUGGGAGGUGGGGGGCUGGUCUGCCACCACCACCAGGGGAAGCCACAGGCACCACCCUCUGGGGACAGCUUCCCUUGGCAAUAAUGUGCACGCAGGAUGCAUGGUGCCCAGGACUGUUCUUACACACAUUCAUUCAUGGGAUCCUCACAACCCAGUGCUAUGCAAUGGAUACAGCUGUUACCCCAUUUUUACUGAUGGGCAACAUCACAAGGCAGGGAGCAGCAGUAGAAUGGCUCCAGAGCCUGUGUUCUUGCCACCACCAUGACUGCAUCUCAAAAGAGAAGUCCAGGUCAGGCACAGUGGCUCAUGCCUGCCUUCCCAGCACUUCAGGAGGCUGAGGCAGGAGUAUCACUUGGGCCCAGGGGUUCAAGACCAGCUUGGGCAAUAUAGUGAGGCCACGUCUCUACAAAAAGUAAUUUUAAAAAACCAGCUGGGCAUGGUGGCACACGCCUGUAGUCCUAGCUACUAGAGAGGCUAAGGUGGGAGGAUUGCUGGAGCCCAGAAGGUGGAGGUUGCAGUGCCCUGUGAUCACACCACUGCACUCCAGCCUGGGUGACAGAGCCAGACCCUGUCUCAAAAAAACAACAAAAACUCAACAGAAGUCCAACAUCUAAAUAAAUUGUCCAGAAAAUAAGGAAAUGAGAGAAAUCAGCAGAGAUAAAUCAAGAAAAUUUCCUAGAACCAAACAGUCAUGUUUUCUGAACAAUGGGUGAAAGGGAAGUUGUAUAUCAAGACACAUCAUUGAGAAUUACCCAAGUAAUGGGGCAAAGAAAAAGAAGAGAUCAUAGGUAAAGAGUCAGAAUUCAGGAAGGCACAAGAGUUCUUGGAACUAGAAGAAAAUGACACAAUACCCUUGAAAUCCUGGGAAUAAAUGAUUUUCAACCAAGCCAAGCUUUUUGUAGCUAGUCGCACUGUUAAGCAUAUGUGAGGUUAGCAUAAAGACUGUGGGGAAAAGCAAGAGAGAUCAGAUUGUUACUGUGUCUGUGUAGAAAGUAGUAGACAUAGGAGACUCCAUUUUGUUUUGUACUAAGGAAAAUUCUUCUGCCUUGAGACUCUGUUAAUCUAUGACCUUACCCCCAACCCCGUGCUCUCUGAAACAUGUGCUGUGUCAACUCAGAGUUGAAUGGAUUAAGGGCGGUGCAAGAUGUGCUUUGUUAAACAGAUGCUUGAAGGCAGCAUGCUCCUUAAGAGUCAUCACCACUCCCUAAUCUCAAGUACCCAGGGACACAAAAACUGCGGAAGGCCGCAGGGACCUCUGCCUAGGAAAGCCAGGUAUUGUCCAAGGUUUCUCCCCAUGUGAUAGUCUGAAAUAUGGCCUCGUGGGAUGGGAAAGACCUGACCGUCCCCCAGCCCGACACCCGUAAAGGGUCUGUGCUGAGGAGGAUUAGUAAAAGAGGAAGGAAUGCCUCUUGCAGUUGAGACAAGAGGAAGGCAUCUGUCUCCUGCCCGUCCCUGGGCAAUGGAAUGUCUCCAUAUAAAACCUGAUUGCAUGCUCCAUCUACUGAGAUAGGGAAAAACCGCCUUAGGGCUGGAGGUGGGACCUGCGGGCAGCAAUACUGCUUUGUAAAGCAUUGAGAUGUUUAUGUGUAUGCAUAUCUAAAAGCACAGCACUUAAUCGUUUACAUUGUCUAUGAUGCAAAGACCUUUGUUCACGUGUUUGUCUGCUGACCCUCUCCCCACUAUUGUCUUGUGACCCUGACACAUCCCCCUCUUCGAGAAACACCCACAAAUGAUCAAUAAAUACUAAGGGAACUCAGAGGCUGGCGGGAUCCUCCAUAUGCUGAACGCUGGUUCCCCGGGUCCCCUUAUUUCUUUC